AAAUUUCUUUAAUAUUGGUGAUGAUGAAACAUGUGUGAAGCUAUUUUUCUUUUUAUGACAGGGGUAAUAACAUAGCCCUCGUUACCUGUUUAGAUUUAAAAUUUCUUUUAAAAUGAUCUUUGACUUAGAGGUAGAGUCAUUCGACGCAGAGCUGCUACGGGAUGCAACUCCUGAAGAUGCAGCCCUUGUAGAUGCAGCCCCUGAAGAUGCUAGAGGCAGGUCAUCAUCUUCAUCAUCUAGGAAGAGAGGUUCUACGCGAGGUUCAGAAUUACAUGAGAAGACUUCAUUGAAAAGGGUCAUUAGGAUUAAUGAAUUUGGGCAACCAAAUGCAGGGGAUGCAAAUCAGAUCGCAUUUAAUUCAAGCAUUGGUGUUCUCACCCGUGCACACAUUCCGAUCACCUACACAAACUUUCGGUUGGUGCCUCCACAGUACAUUCAGAGGAUCAAUGAUAUCCUAGCAUGUAGUUAUGAAUUUCAGGAUAACCAAGAAGCAUGGCCACAAUACGUUCAUGAUCGCUGUAAGGCCGCUUGGAGAAAUUUUAAGAACACUUUGCAUACGAAGUAUGUUAAGGACAAGGAUCCUGCAGUUGUGAAAUCGUAUCCCACCCUUAUUGGUGUCCCUAUUGAGGAUUAGAUGAUCUUCGUGGAUUAUUGCAAUACUGAUAAAUUCAAGGAAUCAAGUGGAAGAAAUGCAUCCAAUCGAACUAAACAAGUUGGCCCUUCUACACUUGGUCAGCGAAUCAUGGAUGCCACACGUCAUGAGAUGGCAAUUGAGAGGAAUCUUACUACUGAUGCUGAGGUUGGUAGGGCUGAGGUGUACAUUCGAGCCCAUACAACAAAGGAUAACAAAGUGUAGUUCCAAGAAACCUUUGUAAGUGCAACCCUCGUACACCCUUUCAUUAUCCAUGUGAAUUUUAAAUGCUUCUUUCCCACAUUAUAAUUUUUCUUUUGGAUGUUGUCAUAGGAAAAAAUAAAAUCGAUUCAAAGUCGUAAUCCUGCAUCUCAGAUGACCGGUGUAGAUGACGCCCUUACACAGGUAUAUAUGCAUGUCCUUCAAAUACUUGAGUUUAUUUAGACUUAUGCAUUCUCUGAUAAAUCUAAUUGCAAUUCUGUUUACAAUCAAUUGGGAGUGAUAGUAGAGGGCGCAUACGGGGGAUAGGUGGAAAUGUAGGCAAGAUUGCAGUGAAGAAGACAAUGCCUAUUGUACAUAAGCUCAGUACGAUGUCGCAGGAACGAGAUAAUUUGGUAGAUGAAUUAGAUGAAAUGAAGGAAAGCCUGGGAGAUCUCCACUAGAAGUUUAAUUGCUUUAUAGAUAAGCAAGGGGAAGAAAGGGAUGUGGCUCCACUGAUAAUUCCUCCAUUUAAAUCUAGUCAUGCAUCGUCGCUUGAUUUGGUAAAUCUUGGCAAGAGAUGCGAUCCCUGUGAUUGGAAGAAACGGGUAAUUGCUAGUGGUGAGGUGCAUACAGUGGAUCCAAAUACUCGUGUCCAUGGAGCAGAAAUGGGCAAUGAAAAUUUUAGUGUCAUCCUAAUGGAGAUUAUAGCUCCAUAGUCAUAGCUAUGGA